GACGAACGCUGGCGGCGUGCUUAACACAUGCAAGUCGAACGAGAAAGCCCUUCGGGUAAGUACAGUGGCGAACGGGUGAGUAACACGUGGGCAACCUGCCCCAGAGAGCGGGACAACCCGGGGAAACCCGGGCUAAUACCGCAUGAUGCGUCUCCACUUAAGUGGAGCCGCCAAAUGGUAGCUUCGGCCUCCGCUCUGGGAUGGGCCCGCGCCGGAUUAGCUAGUUGGUUGGGGUAACGGCCCACCAAGGCGACGAUCCGUAGCUGGUCUGAGAGGACGAUCAGCCACACUGGGACUGAGACACGGCCCAGACUCCUACGGGAGGCAGCAGUGGGAAUCUUGCGCAAUGGGCGAAAGCCUGACGCAGCAACGCCGCGUGGGGGAAGAAGGCCUUCGGGUUGUAAACCUCUUUCAGUAGGGACGAAGCUUCCGGGGUUAAUAGCCUACGGGGUGACGGUACCUACAGAAGAAGCCCCGGCUAACUACGUGCCAGCCGCCGCCGUAA
rnacentral:rRNA from 1 species